rnacentral:rRNA from 1 species
GACGAACGCAGGCGGCGUGCUUAACACAUGCAAGUCGAACGGUAAGUGCCCUUUCGGGGGGUACUCGAGUGGAGAACGGGUGAGUAAAUCAUGUGUAGCCUGCCCAUGACUUUGGGAUAACUCCAGGUAACUGAGGCUAAUACCGGGUAGGAGCUCCUGCUGCCUGGUGGGGGCUGGAGAGUUUCGGCUGUUGGGGAUGGACUCGCGGCUUAUCAGCUUGGUGGUGCGGUAGUGGGUUACCAAGGCUUUGUCGGGGCGCCGGCCUGCGAGGGUGACCGGCCACAUUGGGACUGAGAUACGGCCCAGACUCCUACGGGAGGCAGCAGCGGGGAAUAUUGCACAAUGGGUGGAAGCCUGAUGCAGCAACGCCGUGUGCGGGAUGACGGCCUUCGGGUUGUAAACCGCUUUCGCUCAUGACGAAGCUUUGUGUGACGGUAGUGGGUAAAGAAGCACCGGCUAACUACGUG